AUUGAACGCUGGCGGCAGGCCUAACACAUGCAAGUCGAGCGGAUGAAGGGAGCUUGCUCCUGGAUUCAGCGGCGGACGGGUGAGUAAUGCCUAGGAAUCUGCCUGGUCGUGGGGGAUAACGUCCGGAAACGGGCGCUAAUACCGCAUACGUCCUGAGGGCGCAAGUGGGGGAUCUUCGGACCUCCCGCUAUCAGAUGAGCCUAGGUCGGAUUAGCUAGUUGGUGGGGUAAAGGCCUACCAAGCCGACGAUCCGUAACUGGUCUGAGAGGAUGAUCAGUCACACUGGAACUGAGACACGGUCCAGAGUCCUACGGGAGGCAGCAGGGGGGAAGAUUGGACAAUGGGCGAAAGCCUGAUCCAGCCAUGCCGCGUGUGUGAAGAAGGUCUUCGGAUUGUAAAGCACUUUAAGUUGGGAGGAAGGGAAGUAAGUUAAUACCUUGCUGUUUUGACGGUACCAAAAGAAUAAGCACCGGCUAACUUCGUG
rnacentral:rRNA from 1 species